rnacentral:rRNA from 1 species
AGUAGAAGAUGAGCUGGAAACCUAAAAAUUUUGGCGGUUUUUUAGGCUAGUUAGAGGAACCUGCUAUAUAAUGGAUGGUCCACCUUAGAUUUCACUUUUUUUUUAAAUACCGCCGUCGACGACAGGUCAAGGUUUAGCUAAUGAAGGAGAUUGAAAGUGGAUUUAAAUGUUGAUGGAGGAAAUUUGGGCUCUAGGAAAUGC